AUACGGAGGGGGCUAGCGUUGUUCGGAAUUACUGGGCGUAAAGCGCGCGUAGGCGGGCUGGUAAGUUGGGGGUGAAAUCCCAGGGCUCAACCCUGGAACUGCCCUCACUACUGCCAGUCUUGAGUUCGAGAGAGGUAAGUGGAAUUCCUAGUGUAGAGGUGAAAUUCGUAGAUAUUAGGAAGAACACCAGUGGCGAAGGCGGCUUACUGGCUCGAUACUGACGCUGAGGCGCGAAAGCGUGGGGAGCAAACAGGAUUAGAUACCCCAGUAGUCC
rnacentral:rRNA from 1 species